UGGGGAAUAUUGCACAAUGGGCGCAAGCCUGAUGCAGCCAUGCCGCGUGUGUGAAGAAGGCCUUCGGGUUGUAACGCACUUUCAGCGGGGAGGAAGGCGGCGAGGUUAAUAACCUCACCGAUUGACGUUACCCGCAGAAGAAGCACCGGCUAACUCCGUGCUAGCAGCCGCGGUAAUACGGAGGGUGCAAGCGUUAAUCGGAAUUACUGGGCGUAAAGCGCACGCAGGCGGUCUGUCAAGUCGGAUGUGAAAUCCCCGGGCUCAACAUGGGAACUGCAUGCGAAACUGGCAGGCUAGAGGCUUGUAGAGGGGAGUAGAAUUCCAGGGGUAGCGGUGAAGUGCGUGGAGAGCUGGGGGAAUACCGGAAGGGGAGGCGGCCCCCUGGACAAAGACUGACGCUCAGGUGCGAAAGCGUGGGGAGCAAACAGG
rnacentral:rRNA from 1 species